CACAGAGCGAUUCAUUCACACAGAGCGAUUCAUUCAGGAAGUAAACUGAUCUGAUCUGAUCUGAUCUGAUCUGACGGACUCGGACACGGAGAUUUGUCAGAAAAUGUCGCGUUCAGUGGGAACUGAACUGCAGAUCCAGUUAUAGCAGAUAAAGUCACAGCCCUAAAGGCUUCUGGAAAGCUGCUGCCAUUAAAACAAAAGUGAAGUUUUCACGCUGAAUCUGAAGUACAGUGUACAGUGACCCAAAACACACACAAUAUGCUGUUCUGUACUGUUUAAAAGUUCACAUUGAGGUAGCUCAAUUUUGACACUGUUUAUACUGAAGAAAUGUAUAUUUAUAUCAGAUUUCUGAGGUUUUAUUUCACAUCACUGCAGUUAUAUUUUCUGAAGGUUUACAGAUUUGUUGUUUUGCACUUUUUUGUGACUCACUGUACUAAUAUUUUGUUAAUAUUCUCCUUUUAUCUUAUUUUGUUCAUUUUUGUUCAUUUUUAUGAGAUUUUUAUACAAGUUUUAUUUUUGUAUUUUUAUCUGAAAUAUAAAGUUGUUCAGUCCCAUGUUUAUAUUUUGUAAUAAAUAUUUCUAUGUA